UUUCAUCCGACAAAGUUGUGCUGGUGUCUGGUUGGAAAACAUGUUUCCUAUUACCACCGCCCCUAGCAGCUCACAUUUGUUUCGUAAUAUCUCUAGCAAUUUCUCUAAAUCCAUUUUUUAUAUGGCCUGAUGAUUCAUCAUUAAAUGCCACGCAUGUUGUGUGCCUUCAGAAUGAGGUGUUUCAUGUGGAAGGCCAAAGGAUCCUUCAGUUUGCUUUCUCAAUGUUUGACUAAAUAUCUCAUUCAUGUUCAACAGACCUUACGAGCAAUCGAUGGAGGCAGUGCGUGAGCUAGCUUCCUUGUGGCCGGAUUGAUAGAGGCACUGCAUGAGGAACCGAGCCACCGAUGCAGGUCGCCGCCGGCUCCAUUGCACAUGGCAGCCGCCACCACAUCUGCCGUCUCCGCAUCCGAACAAUCGCUGCUUUGUGAGCCGCCUCAUCUAGCGAGGACGCUGCUGCCUCUGAGGACGCAGGAGCCGCCUCAUUCGGUGAAGACUCGCCGCUGUUCCACAGUGAGGCCGCCGCUGGCGCCGUUGUUUCCGCACUAAUCGCAGUCCGCCUGUGGAGCUCCACAGACAGACGUUGGAUGUGUUCGAUGAUGGAGCUACCUGCGUUGGCUGUGUUGCCGGAUCAUGGCAAGGAAUAAAUUUUACAACCAAAAUCAUAUUCUACCAACUUAUUUGGUGCAUAUUAUCAUUUAGCAGUACGCUGGCUGUGCCUUCCUAUGAUAAAUGGAGAUCUUAGAUGUACUGUUGUUCCGUCAGGCAUUGAACCUCUCAAUGACUGACCAUGAAAGAUAUGUGUAGCUCUAAUUUUCUUCAUAUGUUUCUGUUUUCAAGGAUAAUUCUUACUCCUUUUGGAAUUACCAUAUGUGAACAUGUUUAGAAUUAUCAUCUAUGUAGAUCUGUGCA